UGAAGUGCUUAAUGGUUGUAUACGUAGUUUUAUUAUUGUCGACGUUGUUGUGGCAGACUUGUAGAACAGUAGUUGUGACAAAAGCACCUAAGUUGUAAGUACUGAAGGCAGAGGGGGCAGCGGUAACGGUGGUGGUAUAAUGAACAAGGCGGCAGUCACUCUUAAACAAGUGGUUAUGUUUACCUCGCUGCUCGGUCAUGCCUACCCUUUGCUGCUCGCCCUCACUUCAGGCACGCCCACCCCUACACUUCAUGACAGCAAGUAAGGAGAAGCGUACCAGCCAGCCUGCCCACCACACCCAAGUCGACAACCACUCUGUCGUCGCUGCAGAGAAACAGAAUCAACAUGACCCCCUAAGGCUCAGAGGAUUCCCAACAGUGCCAAUUAUCAGAUACUGACAAGAACGGACAGUCACCUUGCUAUGUCCAACAGACUCCUCCAGAAGCAAGGAACUGCCAGUCCGGUACAUCACAGGAGGCACUGCUAUUGGGCUGCAAAAAAAAAAUUCACCCUUCAGGAAGAUAUUUGACCACAGCCUGCAGAAGAUGUGCGAGUCAGGCCUGAUGAACAAGCUGAGGACCAAAUGGCUAUCAGCAGGAACCUCAAUGUGUGGCAGGAAGACUAAAAAUCAUGGCCAGCCUCUCUGAUGUGGCUGCAAUCUUCAUCCUUUUG